rnacentral:lncRNA from 10 species
AUAAGUGCCCUCUGAGUACCAAACAGGAAUGUACUGUUUAUAUAGAAAUUUCAAAUCAGCAGAAAAUUCAAAUAGUUAUAACUUUUCUUUUUAGUCCAUCAUGAGAAAGAGUAACAACAACACAUUGGAAGAAUUUGUAUAUUAGCCUUGGAGGAAGAGGGAUGGCAGUUGUUUCCCCAUGGGAGAAAAUACGAGAAAGCCCCUGUGAAUUACAUACGAUAGCUGUUGAUUGUCUGCCUAAAGAAGAGAACAAAGCUGCAAGGGCUGCAUGAGACGGUAGGAAGAAGUUGCUUCAACAGCACAACCCAUCUCUCUGUGACUGGCAGUGGAUGUGCUGACUCACUGAGGAUGUGCUGAGUACAUACAUUGGCCAAAUAACACAUCAGGUGCCAGAGAUGGGAAGGAUAACGGUCAGAGGGAAGGUGAUGGAGUUCAUUCAGUUGGCAAGAGGAAUUUUGAGUACAGGAGACUCCCGAGCUGCAAGUCAGGCAGAGGGACACUGCAGAUCCUACUCAAGUCUGUGGCAGGGGAAGGAAGCAUCUGCUCAGAGGACAGCGCCCCAGGUGAGUCUGAUGGGGGAAGCAUCCGCUCGGAGGACAGCGCCCCGGGUGAGUCUCAUGGGGGAAGCAUCCGCUGGGAGGACAGCGCCCCGGGUGAGUCUCAUGGGGGAAGCAUCCGCUGGGAGGACAGCACCCCGGGUGAGUCUGCUGCGGGAAGCAUCCGCUCGGAGGACAGCGCCCUGGGUGAGUCUCAUGGGGGAAGCGUCCGCUCGGAGCACAGCGCCCUGGGUGAGUCUCAUGGGGGAAGCGUCCGCUCGGAGCACAGCGCCCCGGGUGAGUCUGAUGGGGGAAGCGUCCGCUGGGAGGACAGCGCCCCAGGUGAGUCUGAUGGGGGAAGCGUGCGCUCGAAGGACAGCGCCCCGGCUGAGUCUGAUGGGGGAAGCAUCCGCUGGGAGGACAGCGCCCCGGGUGAGUCUGAUGGGGGAAGCGUCCGCUGGGAGGACAGCGCCCCGGGUGAGUCUGAUGGGGGAAGCAUCCGCUGGGAGGACAGCGCCCCGGGUGAGUCUGAGAGAGAAACGCUGCCUCAUUACUCAGCGGGUGCAGGAGCCCUUUUUCCUGACUGCUGCAUUGUCAGGAUCCGCAGCUGGUCUAUGGACAAGAUUUUAUCUUCCUACCUGGAGAAAAACCCUCCUGACCCAACAAGUGUGGCCUUGCAGAUGUCCUCAGUUUCCACUUCACCAGAGACUGCUUCCCCCACUGGUGCCUCAGUCCCCUACCAACUGGGUCUUGAAACAUCUCUCCAAUAUUCCUAAGUGGUCCUCAAAGAACACGGGGCUUGAGGCCUUUCUCAUGUAG